AUUGAACGCUGGCGGCAUGCCUUACACAUGCAAGUCGAACGGCAGCACGGGUGCUUGCACCUGGUGGCGAGUGGCGAACGGGUGAGUAAUAUAUCGGAACGUACCUUAUUGUGGGGGAUAACGCAGCGAAAGCUGUGCUAAUACCGCAUAAUCCCUAAGGGGGAAAGCGGGGGACCGUAAGGCAUCGCGCAAUCAUAGCGGCCGAUACCUGAUUAGCUAGUUGGUGAGGUAAAGGCUCACCAAGGCAACGAUCAGUAGCUGGUCGGGGAGGACGAUCAGCCACACUGGGACUGAGACACGGCCCAGACUCCGACGGGAGGCAGCAGUGGGGAAUUUUGGACAAUGGGGGCAACCCUGAUCCAGCAAUGCCGCGUGAGUGAAGAAGGCCUUCGGGUUGUAAAGCUCUUUUGUCAGGGAAGAAACAGCAGCUCUAACACAGUUUGCGAAUGACGGUACCUGAAGAAUAAGCACCGGCUAACUACGUGCCAGCAGCCGCCGUAA
rnacentral:rRNA from 1 species